AGUGAACGCUGGCGGUAGGCCUAACACAUGCAAGUCGAACGGCAGCACAGUAAGAGCUUGCUCUUACGGGUGGCGAGUGGCGGACGGGUGAGGAAUACAUCGGAAUCUACUUUUUCGUGGGGGAUAACGUAGGGAAACUUACGCUAAUACCGCAUACGACCUACGGGUGAAAGCAGGGGAUCUUCGUACCUUGCGCGAUUGAAUGAGCCGAUGUCGGAUUAGCUAGUUGGCGGGGUAAAGGCCCACCAAGGCGACGAUCCGUAGCUGGUCUGAGAGGAUGAUGAGCCACACUGGAAGUGAGACACGGUCCAGACUCCUACGGGAGGCAGCAGUGGGGAAUAUUGGACAAUGGGCGCAAGCCUGAUCCAGCCAUACCGCGUGGGUGAAGAAGGCCUUCGGGUUGUAAAGCCCUUUUGUUGGGAAAGAAAAGCAGCAGGUUAAUACCCCGCUGUUCUGACGGUACCCAAAGAAUAAGCACCGGCUAACUUCGUG
rnacentral:rRNA from 1 species